CCUUACACAUAUAUCAAUAUCUCAUGAAGAUUUGGUAAGGAUCAGAAAGAAGGAAGAAUAAUAUAUAUAUAUAUAUAUUUUGGAGCCUGAACAGGGGCCGACCCGAGCCUAGAGUGGGGUCGACCCCUCCUUGAGUCGACCCAAGCAAAACCUGGGGUCGACCCAACGGCGGGACCCCCAUUUUUAAAGGGCAGCCGAGAGCAACAUUAGGUCAUUUGUACUC
rnacentral:lncRNA from 1 species